GAUGAACGCUGGCGGCGUGCCUAAUACAUGCAAGUCGAGCGAACGGACGAGAAGCUUGCUUCUCUGAUGUUAGCGGCGGACGGGUGAGUAACACGUGGAUAACCUACCUAUAAGACUGGGAUAACUUCGGGAAACCGGAGCUAAUACCGGAUAAUAUUUUGAACCGCAUGGUUCAAAAGUGAAAGACGGUCUUGCUGUCACUUAUAGAUGGAUCCGCGCUGCAUUAGCUAGUUGGUAAGGUAACGGCUUACCAAGGCAACGAUGCAUAGCCGACCUGAGAGGGUGAUCGGCCACACUGGAACUGAGACACGGUCCAGACUCCUACGGGAGGCAGCAGUAGGGAAUCUUCCGCAAUGGGCGAAAGCCUGACGGAGCAACGCCGCGUGAGUGAUGAAGGUCUUCGGAUCGUAAAACUCUGUUAUUAGGGAAGAACAUAUGUGUAAGUAACUGUGCACAUCUUGACGGUACCUAAUCAGAAAGCCACGGCUAACUACGUGCCAGCAGCCGCGGUAAUACGUAGGUGGCAAGCGUUAUCCGGAAUUAUUGGGCGUAAAGCGCGCGUAGGCGGUUUUUUAAGUCUGAUGUGAAAGCCCACGGCUCAACCGUGGAGGGUCAUUGGAAACUGGAAAACUUGAGUGCAGAAGAGGAAAGUGGAAUUCCAUGUGUAGCGGUGAAAUGCGCAGAGAUAUGGAGGAACACCAGUGGCGAAGGCGACUUUCUGGUCUGUAACUGACGCUGAUGUGCGAAAGCGUGGGGAUCAAACAGGAUUAGAUACCCUGGUAGUCCACGCCGUAAACGAUGAGUGCUAAGUGUUAGGGGGUUUCCGCCCCUUAGUGCUGCAGCUAACGCAUUAAGCACUCCGCCUGGGGAGUACGACCGCAAGGUUGAAACUCAAAGGAAUUGACGGGGACCCGCACAAGCGGUGGAGCAUGUGGUUUAAUUCGAAGCAACGCGAAGAACCUUACCAAAUCUUGACAUCCUUUGACAACUCUAGAGAUAGAGCCUUCCCCUUCGGGGGACAAAGUGACAGGUGGUGCAUGGUUGUCGUCAGCUCGUGUCGUGAGAUGUUGGGUUAAGUCCCGCAACGAGCGCAACCCUUAAGCUUAGUUGCCAUCAUUAAGUUAGGCACUCUAAGUUGACUGCCGGUGACAAACCGGAGGAAGGUGGGGAUGACGUCAAAUCAUCAUGCCCCUUAUGAUUUGGGCUACACACGUGCUACAAUGGACAAUACAAAGGGCAGCGAAACCGCGAGGUCAAGCAAAUCCCAUAAAGUUGUUCUCAGUUCGGAUUGUAGUCUGCAACUCGACUACAUGAAGCUGGAAUCGCUAGUAAUCGUAGAUCAGCAUGCUACGGUGAAUACGUUCCCGGGUCU
rnacentral:rRNA from 1 species